AGCUUUGCAGAGUGGCAGUCUCCUAGUCAGUGAGGUUUAUCUGAGGCACGAUUAUAGCUAAUUGAAAACUCUUCCCAAUACCCUACGCCAUGACGACUUGAAAUAUAGUUAGCACUGGCAACUCCGUAUUUCUCUAUGGAGA
rnacentral:snRNA from 1 species